CGUAGGCAGUAACCUCUACGACAUCAGCCAUAGCAACUUCUUUCAUGACACAUCUCCAAAGGCAAGGGAAACAAAAGCAAAAAUGAACUUUUGGGACUUCAUCGAGAUAAAAAAGCUUUAGAGCCAUUUUAAGGGAUUUUUUGACUUUCCUAUUAAUCUGGAGUAGCUGUGCCAUAGUACACAGUACACAGUGAACACUGGUGUGACCAAUUAAGAUUUAAGUGGACAAAGCCAUGAGCAAAGUUCAGCUCAAAAAUGCAGGUGUGAAGAAAGGUAAGAAGACUCGAGCUCUUCUCUAAGUGCUCACAUCAUGGAGGAGAGAGAGGACCACAAAAUAUGGCGAGGUCUGGCUACCCCAGGGGCUAUUCGAGAUUUUGGAGGUUUUGGCAGUCCACUUCAGUGAGAUGUCCGCCAGGUCAGGGAGGCCAAAGGCUGUGCGUUCCGUGGCCUGGCCACAUCAGUACCUAAAGCCUCUGAUAGUUCCACACAAGGCGAGUCACACCUGUCACACUAAGCUCUAAAUUCUGAGUCCUGAGAUUCUGGGUUGAACAAUUUCUCCUUUUCUCUGCCAGUGUUUCAGGGCCUGGACACCUCUUAUGUACUUUGUGUCUUUCUAUGGCCAGGAGCCACCAAGGCUUCUGAUACAAGGUGAGUGCCUAGCCAUCAUGGGUGAAAGGGAGAGUCUAGGCCAUCUGCUGCUAGUCAGUCUUCCAGCACAGGUUAAUGAGUGGAUGGUUGUGCCAUGCAUCUCCCACAGGGGUGAAUAUGGUGAAGAAGCAGGAUUGGAAAAGGGUGGACACUUCAGGGCAUGUGAGUUUGAACUGUUUGUGGGACUCAGGGGAGUUUGGAAUUGGAGUUUGAAUCUUUUGGGACAUCUUUGAGAUUUAAAGAAAUGGGACGAAAACCAUCAAUGUGUGUGAAUGAUGAAGAAUGUGUAAGGCAUCAGGCAGAGCCCUGGAAAACAUCCGUGUGUAAUUAGGAGAAGAGGAGUGUUAUGGAUUGAGUGUUGUACCGCUCCCCUCCCCCAUUCAUAUGUUGAAGGCCUAACCCCCAAAGUGACAGUAUUUGAAGAUGGAGCCUUUGGGAGGUAAUUUGUGUUAUAUAAGGUUGUACGGGUGGGGCCUUCAAGAUGGUAUUAGUGGCCUAAGUAGAGGAAGAGAGAGAUCUCUUUCCUGCGUGCACGUACAGAGGAAAGGUCAUGUGAAGAAAGGGGGCUGGUGCCAUCUGCAAGCCAGGCAGAGAGCUCUCACCAGGAAAGGGAUCAGCUAGCACCCUGAGUUUGAACUUUUAACCUCCAGAACCAUGAGGAAUAAAGGUCUGCUGUUUAAGCCACCCAGUCUGUGGUAUUUUGUGUUGGCAGCCCAGGGUGACUGAGACAGGAGCCCCUGAGAAAGAAAGCGAGGACUGAUGGGAUGCUAGAGGGAGAGCAUGGAGAGGGCUUUGUGGGGUGAGCAUCAGACAGGGAGAAGAAAGAGCUGGGAAACCUCUGAACUGGAGGUGUCUGGUGGACUCUGUCAGGCUAUUUUGGGCUUAACGGUUGGUGUUGUCCAUGUGUGUGUAGUAUAUGGCACUUUUGGGUGGAAUAAACUUAUUAAGAAACACUAUAAAGAGUGUUUCUCCCUUGAUUAUGCCCAUUCUGAUCAUCAGCAAAAUUUCAAUUUCAA